GACGAACGCUGGCGGCGUGCUUAACACAUGCAAGUCGAACGGAAAGGCCCUGCUUUUGUGGGGUGCUCGAGUGGCGAACGGGUGAGUAACACGUGAGUAACCUGCCCUUGACUUUGGGAUAACUUCAGGAAACUGGGGCUAAUACCGGAUAGGAGCUCCUGCUGCAUGGUGGGGGUUGGAAAGUUUCGGCGGUUGGGGAUGGACUCGCGGCUUAUCAGCUUGUUGGUGGGGUAGUGGCUUACCAAGGCUUUGACGGGUAGCCGGCCUGAGAGGGUGACCGGCCACAUUGGGACUGAGAUACGGCCCAGACUCCUACGGGAGGCAGCAGUGGGGAAUAUUGCACAAUGGGCGGAGGCCUGAUGCAGCAACGCCGCGUGCGGGAUGACGGCCUUCGGGUUGUAAACCGCUUUCGCCUGUGACGAAGCGUGAGUGACGGUAAUGGGUAAAGAAGCACCGGCUAACUACGUGCCAACAGCCGCGGUGAUACGUAGGGUGCGAGCGUUGUCCGGAUUUAUUGGGCGUAAAGGGCUCGUAGGUGGUUGAUCGCGUCGGAAGUGUAAUCUUGGGGCUUAACCCUGAGCGUGCUUUCGAUACGGGUUGACUUGAGGAAGGUAGGGGAGAAUGGAAUUCCUGGUGGAGCGGUGGAAUGCGCAGAUAUCAGGAGGAACACCAGUGGCGAAGGCGGUUCUCUGGGCCUUUCCUGACGCUGAGGAGCGAAAGCGUGGGGAGCGAACAGGCUUAGAUACCCUGGUAGUCCACGCUGUAAACGGUGGGUACUAGGUGUGGGGUCCAUUCCACGGGUUCCGUGCCGUAGCUAACGCUUUAAGUACCCCGCCUGGGGAGUACGGCCGCAAGGCUAAAACUCAAAGGAAUUGACGGGGCCCCGCACAAGCGGCGGAGCAUGCGGAUUAAUUCGAUGCAACGCGUAGAACCUUACCUGGGUUUGACAUGGAUCGGGAGUGCUCAGAGAUGGGUGUGCCUCUUUUGGGGUCGGUUCACAGGUGGUGCAUGGCUGUCGUCAGCUCGUGUCGUGAGAUGUUGGGUUAAGUCCCGCAACGAGCGCAACCCUUGUUCACUGUUGCCAGCACGUUAUGGUGGGGACUCAGUGGAGACCGCCGGGGUCAACUCGGAGGAAGGUGGGGAUGACGUCAAGUCAUCAUGCCCCUUAUGUCCAGGGCUUCACGCAUGCUACAAUGGCUGGUACAGAGAGUGGCGAGCCUGUGAGGGUGAGCGAAUCUCGGAAAGCCGGUCUCAGUUCGGAUUGGGGUCUGCAACUCGACCUCAUGAAGUCGGAGUCGCUAGUAAUCGCAGAUCAGCAACGCUGCGGUGAAUACGUUCCCGGG
rnacentral:rRNA from 1 species